CCGACGGCAUACCUCGUGGGGUUCUCGAGCCGGUGUUCCGCGACCUAUUCUGGGCUAAGCGCGGUGGUGGCCUGCGCGGUGUCGUCGGGGUGUGUAGCGGCCGCGGUGACGGUGUCACGGUGAUCUCCCGGGGCCGGCGGUGUCCGGCGUGCGGGCGUGAGCAUCAAGAUAGCCGCGCGAUCCUCGGUGUGUUCGGCGCAACUGGCGCCGCUCUAGGCCGCCGUUGUGCGGCCGGUGCGAUCAAGUCCCGGUGGUCCUUGGCCCGACAGGCACGUUCUAGACUCUCGGCGUGUAGACCGGUUGUAGUGGGGCCGCGCGCUCCUCGUUUCGUGAGACGGCCGCGGUCUCGUCCUGCUCGACGGCGGUCGUGCCACGGUGCGCGCUCACACGUAUGGCCGCUGCUUCUACCGCCUCGCGGUGGGCGGACUCCACCGCACCAUCUGCCCCGCCGGCGCCUUCAGCCUCUGCGGCCGGUCGCCGAGGAGGGACCGGAGCUCUUUCCCUCGGAGCCGCAGGUGGUAACGGUAGAGGACGACCGAAAACGAACGAACGAGUAUCGAACAACCCACCCGCAUAUAUAAAGAUAGUAGAACUUCUGUGAAAGAAGGGGACAGUAGUAGCGAAUCUCAAUUUUUUUCGAACGAAUUAAUCGACGAGUCUGUCUG
rnacentral:rRNA from 1 species